CCAGCACACCCACAUUGUCCAGGACAGUAUGUAUGGGUAAAAGAUUGGAAAAAGGAGCCUCUCCAACCUACAAAGACAGGUCCCC